GACGAACGCUGGCGGCGUGCCUAAUACAUGCAAGUAGAACGCACAGUUUAUACCGUAGCUUGCUACACCAUAAACUGUGAGUUGCGAACGGGUGAGUAACGCGUAGGUAACCUGCCUGGUAGCGGGGGAUAACUAUUGGAAACGAUAGCUAAUACCGCAUAAUAUUAAUUAUUGCAUGAUAAUUGAUUGAAAGAUGCAAUUGCAUCACUACCAGAUGGACCUGCGUUGUAUUAGCUAGUAGGUGAGGUAACGGCUCACCUAGGCGACGAUACAUAGCCGACCUGGGAGGGUGAUCGGCCACACUGGGACUGAGACCCGGCCCAGACUCCUACGGGAGGCAGCAGUAGGGAAUCUUCGGCAAUGGACGAAAGUCUGACCGAGCAACGCCGCGUGAGUGAAGAAGGUUUUCGGAUCGUAAAGCUCUGUUGUAAGAGAAGAACGGGUGUGAGAGUGGAAAGUUCACACUGUGACGGUAUCUUACCAGAAAGAGACGGCUAACUACGUG
rnacentral:rRNA from 1 species